GUCAUUUCGCAUUUCCUAAGUCUGGAUACGUGGCUUUACCAGGACCAGGAGAGAGAAAUUCUCUUCAACUCUACUUUCCCCUUCUCUCUCUCCCACCGAUUUACUCCACCACCACGCCAUUGUUUCUCUAUCUGUAGAGACCCGUAAUUUCAUCAUUUAAUCUUUGGUAUUUAUAAUGCAAUUGGUCUAUAAAUAAAUAUGAAUUUAAGUUUUGAACAAAAUAUUGUUAAUGUGUGAGGGUGUAUGAGUUGGGGAUUAUAAUGUGAUGUUUGUUGAAUACAGGGGUGUUAGUGCAUUAGGGCUAUAUGUAUCAACACUCACAAAGAGAACACUUCACUUUCCCCUUUUCUUUUUUUAACGCCAGCUCUCUCUCCCUCCUGUCCCUUUCUCUCGGUCUCCUCUCUCUCACUCCCUCAACCAAAUUCUUGCUACUCCACCAUCAAUCCUUGAAAACCCACGCACAUAUCUUCAUCCUCGGCCCUCGGAUCGCGUGGGAAGAGCUCGGUGGAGGCAUAUUUCGGAUUUGGAGGCUAGGGUUUGGUUUGAGCUCAAAGCUUGGUCUUGAUACUUGAGGUACUCGCCAUGGCACUUAGCUUGGAUUGCAUGGAGUGCAUAUUGAGACGUCUCUUGAGAGCUUCAUUGGUAUCAUAAAGGAAGUGUUUAUCAUCUAGUCUAAUUCAUGUUGUGUACUUUACUCGUAAUGGAAAGUUGUACCUUUUGAUCAAAAUAUAUGUAAAACUAUGUAUAAAUUCCUCUCCUUGAUUAGUAUGGAACUCAUUUAAUUGUAAACGUUUGGGAGACUUUAUGUAUAAAAAAAAAAAAAAAAUUAGAGAGAAGAAGAAGAGACUUUGAUUCUUUAUUUGGAUUGGCAUGACAGUUAAGGGUAAAUAUAGUUGAGAGGAAGACUUUUGUUGUGGAAAAUAUAUUAUUAUUUUAGCUGAAAAUCGAGGGCGUGACACUAUCUCUCUCUCUCUCUCUCUCUCUCUCUUAGGAAAUCCUCAACGCCAUGAAGCCGGUGCUUCUUGAGUCAGAGAUGAUCAGGAAUGUUGAGUUCGAGAGAUUUCGGCUUUGGCAAGAUUAUGGUUGUUCCGGCCUCUGUUCUCCUCCUUCACUCCCCCAUAGCGUCACACUCUCGCACACCACACCGUCCACCCCAACUUCUUACCGAAAGCAUUUCACGGCAUCAGUGGUCGACGGUUAGCGGGGCCACUGCAUUGGGUUCGUUGGUGGAGGAAUUGGAAAAUAUGUGAUGUGGAAUAAGGGUUUCAGGGAAUAUAAGUAAUAUUUAGGGCUUCUAACUAUGUCGUUCAUGCAUGCAUGUGAUAUUUGAUUUACGGACUUAGGGUUUCUGAUUAUAAAGCUUCUAACUAUAUUGUUCAUGUUUUGCCGUUUAAAAAAAAAAACUAUAUUGUUCAUGUUUGUCUGCAGUAUUUGAUUUACAGACUUAGGUUUCUGAUUAUUGGCUUUUAUAAUUAUUUUAGGAAUAUUGAUUGUUGAUUUGAUUCAGGCAAGCUUGGCUCCCCGAUGCUGUUCUCUUUUAUUCACUGUCGGCAUGCAACAGCUUCGAAUGAGUAUUGAUUUAAUGCAGCCCAAGCAUGGAUUCUUAUGGUAUAAACCUGUAUGUUAUAUAUUUCUGUGUUGUGUUUGAAUUUCGUUCACAUUGGUGGGAUAUUUUGAGUGGGGUAUGUAAUUUCUAAGAUAUGUUAGUGUAAGGUUGUUUUGUUUGAAACAACCUUCUUAGAGCUUCGCUAAGAGACUUUUUCAGUCCUCAAAAGCAAGUAGUUGUAGCUUCCUCUUCGGCUACAAUGGAAUAGCAUGAAGUGUGUCCUUUGCUUGCAUAAAAGUCCCUGAAGAAAUUGGACUAUCCUUGGGAGCACGGAAUUCUACAUUGUUUAUAUCAAAGCUAAAACCCGAGUUUCUGUAUUUUUCUUCACAAAAUUUUCAGACAAUAUACGCUUGGGAGUGUGACAGAACAAGGAUGACUUGCAUAAGAAUGAAGAGUGGCUGCCUCAAUAAGUUCCACGCGACUCUCGGUUAAGCCAUCCACUUGUUCCCAAGAAUGAAACUCAAAGGAAUUGACUGGGGCCCGCACAAGCGGUGGAGCAUGUGGUUUAAUUCGAUGCAAAGCGAAGAACCUUACCAGGGCUUGACAUGCCGUGAACCCUCUUGAAAGAGAGAGGCACCUUCAGGAACGCAGACACAGGUAUGUUAGAAUAUUGUUUUGUAUUAGAAAUGUCCUUUGCAGGGCUUAUUAUCGGUAGUUUCUGAUCAUUGGCAACCAACUAUUGUUUUUGGUGGUGACUAACUAAUGAUAACUUUUUAAAAGUUGGAUUGAAUUUUAUUUACUGAGUUUAACAAGGAAAACUUUAUUAAAAAGAAAUUGAUGAGUGGUUUGACUUUGAUUGCUAAUAAAAGUUGUUUGAUCAGAUAUUUAUUGAAUUUGAAUUUGUAACAUUUUGAACUACAGUAAAUGCUUCAGAUUUACUUAAGUAGUGUACUGGAUUUUAUUUUUCCGUGUCAUUGCUUUGUUAGAGAAGAAACAGUAGUAGUUAUCCAAGUUUGUUAUAAGAUGGAAGAUGCUGGGGUGGACACCUAAAUGGAGAGCGAACUAUGACUUUUCUUUUGCUACAUACUUUGGAUUGUCUAUGUAGGUUUUUCUACUUGAACACAGGCCUGAGAAUGUUGCAGUAGUUCAAUGCCUUGUCAGGCUACUCGUGCAUACUGUGAGUACUGAAAGGCACUGUGAGAGAAAGCCCAUUUCCUUCUGUUUUCUUCCCACCAUUAGAGGCAAUGGGAGGUUUUAGUUUAAGUAGCAGUCGGCGGACUAACUCAAGAACAUAUUGAAGUUUCCCCUACACACAGUUCAUAGAUACGUGACCGAUUUUUCAGCUAAAGAACAUGCUGCAAGGUUGUACAGAGGCUGAUUGACCAUAGAUGACUCCUUACCAAAUGAAGGAAAAAUGGACAUUCCCAACGACAACAAAUAGUCAACUCCUUCCAUCAACUUCACAGAAACUGGAACCACAACUCCAAGGCAAACCCUUUGACCUGCAGAACUCCCGAUCCAAAUACUUGUGUACCUGAAACUCUCCAUCAAACUUAUGCAGCCUAAUUCUAUUAGGCCUUUUGUAAACGAAGAAGUCCUUCAGCCUAAUUUUGUUAGGCCUUUGGUAAUCAUAAAUAUGUCGUACUUAUGUAUAUAUAAACCUCUUCAUCAAACUUAUUUAUAUGUUGUUCAAUGGGCAUGACAGACGUGCAAGGCACGUCGCAAUGCACCUAGUUUUUUUACUUACAUUUGUCUAUUCUAUUACUUUUUGU